rnacentral:rRNA from 1 species
AUUGAACGCUGGCGGCAGGCCUAACACAUGCAAGUCGAACGAGUGGCGGACGGGUGAGUAAUGUCUGGGAAACUGCCCGAUGGAGGGGGAUAACUACUGGAAACGGUAGCUAAUACCGCAUACCAUCGGAUGUGCCCAGAUGGGUUUAGCUAGUAGGUGGGGUAACGGCUCACCUAGGCGACGAUCCCUAGCUGGUCUGAGUGGAUGACCAGCCACACUGAAACUGAGACACGGUCCAGACUCCUACGGAGGGCAACAGUAGGGAGUAUUGCACAAUGGGCGCGAGCCGGAUGCAGCCAUGCCGCGGGUAUGAAGAAGGCCUUCAGGUUGUAGAGUGCUGUCAGCGAGGAAGCGUUACUAGCGGAAGAAGCACCGGCUAACUCCGUGCCAGCGGCCGCGGUAAUUC